rnacentral:rRNA from 1 species
AACGUAGGAGACAAACGUUAUCCGGAGUUACUGGGCGUAAAGGGCGUGUAGGUGGUUGUGUAAGUCUGGCGUGAAAUUUUUCGGCUUAACCGGGAAAGGUCGUCGGAUACUGCGGAACUAGAGGACGGUAGAGGCGUGUGGAAUUCCGGGUGUAGUGGUGAAAUGCGUAGAGAUCCGGAGGAACACCAGUGGCGAAGGCGACACGCUGGGCCGUACCUGACACUGAUGCGCGACAGCAUGGGGAGCAAACAGG